CGGCCACUGUGUACCAGAACUGCACUAGGAGUCGUCGAACAAACACCUUGCAAUAGUGGUAGCAAGCUCACUGACCUUCUGAGGGUGGAGAACAACUGCACAUAUUCCAAAACAAACACCAACAGCAGCAAUUGCAAAGACGAGUGGAUGAGAGAUCACAAUUGUCAUCGUAAAUAAGCGACUGCAAGACUUUCCCGGCCUUUCCUCAAGGUUUAAACUCAUCAGAAGCUCGAUCUCCAUUCAAAAGGGGGAACAGUUGCACUUUCACCUAGGGAAGGUAAAGCCACUCUUGAUUUCAACUUAUUCUUUGCCCUUUCGAGACCCUGCAAAAUGUCCAAAUUGCCAUCCCAUUUACUAAAAUAAGAUGUGUAUUUACUAUCAAACACAAUAGGUGCUUGUUUAGCAGUCUUUUUAAGUUCUUAUAAACUGUGAGUCCUACUGAACGUGUGGAUAAUAAGUUAGUUUGAUAUGUGGAUCCUAUGAAACAUACGGAUAAAAAAUAUAUUUGACCAGCUUAAAUUAUAAUUUAAGCUUUACCAAGCAAGCAAUAGGUAAUGUCCUCACCUGAUUGGUAGCUGGAACAGGUGGACUAUCAUGUUGGGAGAUUUGGCUGAAAAAUUUUCCAUCCAACGCAUGCAUUACUGAAUAUUUUUUUGUCUCUAGUUUCUGAUGAAGUACAUUUCUCGCAUUAUCCAUAUUUACCCGUAAUAACU
rnacentral:lncRNA from 1 species